UCCGGUUUGUCACCGGCGGUCUCUUUAGAGUGCCCACCCGAAGUGCUGGCAACUAAAGACAAGGGUUGCGCUCGUUGCGGGACUUAACCCAACAUCUCACGACACGAGCUGACGACAGCCAUGCAGCACCUGUGUUCUGGUUCCCUUUCGGGCACCCUCAUAUCUCUACGAGGUUCCAGACAUGUCAAGGCCAGGUAAGGUUCUUCGCGUUGCAUCGAAUUGAACCACAUGCUCCACCGCUUGUGCGGGUCCCCGUCAAUUCAUUUGAGUUUCAACCUUGCGGCCGUACUCCCCAGGCGGACAACUUAACGCGUUAGCUGCGACACCAAGAGGCUAACCCUCCCGACAUCUAGUUGUCAUCGUUUAUGGCGUGGACUAC
rnacentral:misc_RNA from 1 species